rnacentral:rRNA from 1 species
UACGUAGGGGGCAAGCGUUGUCCGGAUUCAUUGGGCGUAAAGAGCGUGUAGGCGGCCAGGUAGGUCGGUUGUGAAAACUGGAGGCUCAACCUUCAGAGGUCGACCGAAACCAUCUGGCUAGAGUCCGGGAGAGGAGAGUGGAAUUCCUGGUGUAGCGGUGAAAUGCGCAGAUAUCAGGAAGAACACCGGUGGUGUAGACGGCUUUCUGGACCGUAACUGACGCUGAGACACGAAAGCGUGGGUAGCAAACAGG